GGAGUGACGUCAAAGUGUGUCGGGGACGGGGAGCGGAGACACGGAAAAGGUCAAACUAAAGGCGAGGAGCGGCCGUGGCCGCCGCCGCCGGGGCCCGGCCGAGGCCCAGCCGGGGCCCAGCCGGCCCGGGCAGCUCCUCCGGACCCGCCGGACGAGCGAGGGCGGUGGCAGCCGGUGGGGCUCCGCUGUUGGGCCGGGCCGGGCGAGGCAGCCCCGGCGAGGCGGCCCCUCCGGUCCCCGCGGCGGAGCCGGCCGCCCCCCGCCGCCUCCCCUCACAGGAUUAGUUUCCAGCUAAUAUAGUGGUUGUCCAAGUAACCUACAUCACGAAAUUAUAAAAUUCCUGUAACAGUGGAGGAAGCAGGAAUCCCUCAGCUGGAAGACAGAAUAGGACUACUCUUCUGCCACAGUGCUCUUACCAUGGUCAAUUUAAACCAUCCUGAAAGGGCAGCAGUAGUCAGGCUCUGUGGCAUCUCUUGGUGCCUUGGCCCUUACCAGCUUCUCCGGCAAUAUAGCGAUAUGGAGUAGACUGAAUUGUUGAAAGGCUGAUGUUAAGUCUAUCCAAACGUGUCCUGGUUCAGCAGAGGUUGGAGGAUCAUCUGAAUCUUAAACUUAAAGAUACCUUUAAAAAGAAAGCUGUCUGUAAAAAGUGAGUUCUUUGUCAUCUUGGACCAGAGAUGUUGGUUACCUUGAAAGAAGAUGCAGACUAUGGGCCCAAAUUAGGAAUUGGAAGACUUUUCAGGAUAGCGUGGAGAUGUAUCAGGUGCUGGGCUGCUUUGCACCGCUAGACCGUCGCGGUGACGUGUGGUGGUCUGUUGCUGUAAACAUCCCCGACUGGAAGCUGUACCACUCCUAGCUUUCAGUCAGAUGUUUGCUGCACCUGGCUAUUCCUGGACAACAGCAGAAGGAAAAGCUGUCAUAAAUAUGUGCAUGUGUAUCUUACACUGUUUCUGUAGAUACGGUUGAAUUUCCUCCAAAUUAACCAACCUGAUUGUUAUUAACGGUGUAGGUGUGAUUUCUUGCGAUCUAGUCUGGGAUGGAGGUAGCGGGCUGUUGUGUGUGAUGGCUCAGGACAGAGCUCAUGGCUGCCUGGCGGUAUGAGCUACGGAAUGGUGCUUCACUGGAACGUAACGGCAAGUGGGGGUUAACUUCUUGUGCAAUUAUCCGUAAGCCAGACUUGCUUUAUGAAUUGUCUGUUUUAGCGGCUUCUGUUACUUACGACUCUUAGGAAAAAAAUAUUAUAACUGCUGUCAAAUACUUAGCAGGCAUUUUAUUUGAUGUGCCUGCUUUUUGUUGUUGGGGGUUUUUUUUCUGAAAUUCCAUGUUCUGAGUGGGUGGUGCGCUUAUUGUUUGUAAGCUGGAUAUAACCCAAGGCCAAAAUAAAGGUUAAAAAUAUGACAGAGGAUGUUUUUGCGCUAACAAUGCAUAGCAUAUACACUUGUUUGUGGUAUGGCCAUCUUGGUUUGUGCUACCCCCCACCAUGGCACUACAAAGGUCUAUUUUUCAUGUAAAUAACAGCUUUUGAAAGUCCUUCUUCAGAAUUAACUCUCCACUGAUUCAGUUCCAAAACGACUCAAAGCAACCACGUCAACAGGAACAGCUAGCUGCACAAAAAGCUUCAGGAGUGGCUUAUGUGAGUAACUUCUUCUGCCACUAAGACAGAAAAUAUUCUUGCACUACGUUAGCUCCCCACUCUGCCCCCUCCCAAAAUGUUAUCUUUUUAUUCCCUAAUACUUAAAAGAAAGACUUUGUUCAAUUUAUUUGAUAGUAUAGAAAACCUAGUUCUUACUUGUUCUGCUUUGCUAUACUGAUUCUGUAAAAGAAGAUUAUAUCCAAAGAUAAAAAUACUCAGAAAAGUGAAAUAUUUUCUUUAAUUUAUUAGAAUUUCUUAGUCCUGGGAAAGCUGGACUGAUAAGCACUGGAAAGGUAACGAUGAUCAAGUAGGCAGUGAGUGACCAAAUGUGAACCAGGGGCAGCCGUUCUUCUGGCAUGGUGCCGUGCCUCUAACUGUUGUGCUCCGGUUACCGGGGGGUUCUGUCUGGUGACACAGGAGCACGGGUGGAGAUGGAAGGUGUUGAACUUAUUUAUUGACCUAAUUCAUUCCCCGCACCUCUACAAAGAUUUGUUUUUAAAGCAACUUGCACACUUAAUACGAUCUCAGUUAAAAUGUUAUUUUUUAAAUAGUACAUCUGGCUCGGUAAUUCAUGUUGGGUAUAUUGAUAAAAAGAACUUUGAAGCAGAAUCUACAGAUUUUGAUUUCUUUUUUAAAAAAAUAAAAAAAGGUGCUGGUAGUUGUUUUCCAACCUUUCUUUGCUGUAAAUAUUCAGCAUUUCCUGGUUCUGUGUAGUAUUGGGACGUAGAAGAAAGGAAAUGUUCUCUGUUAACAAACUUCUGUGACUGAUCAAAGUAAACUUGUUAUCUCGUAAUUAAUCUGGUAGACAUUUUGGUUAGUGCUGUCUUAGCCUUUCCAUGUGCCAGAUAACGACAGUGCUGCUUUUUUUUUUUUUUCAAUAAGCUUAGUUCAUGUGCAGUUUGUCGGUCCGGUUGUGUGGAUUUUACUAAUGCGCACAUUUCUGUUGUACUAUAUCUAAUACAUGUACUCAACCACAGCUGUCGUAUGUCUUCACAUCAAAACAAACUGAAGUGGCUUCUAACUGCAGGAAAUAAAUAAAGUUUAAAAAACCACA